rnacentral:rRNA from 1 species
AGCGAACGCUGGCGGCAGGCCUAACACAUGCAAGUCGAACGAAGCCUUCGGGCUUAGUGGCGGACGGGUGAGUAACACGUGGGAGCGUACCUUUUGGUUCGGAAUAACGCAGAGAAAUUUGCGCUAAUACCGAAUGAGCCCUUCGGGGGAAAGAUUUAUCGCCGAAAGAUCGGCCCGCGUUGGAUUAGGUAGUUGGUGUGGUAAAGGCGCACCAAGCCUACGAUCCAUAGCUGGUCUGAGAGGAUGAUCAGCCACACUGGGACUGAGACACGGCCCAGACUCCUACGGGAGGCAGCAGUGGGGAAUCUUGCGCAAUGGGCGAAAGCCUGACGCAGCCAUGCCGCGUGAAUGAUGAAGGUCUUAGGAUUGUAAAAUUCUUUUACCGGGGACGAUAAUGACGGUACCUGGAGAAAAAGCCCCGGCUAACUUCGUGCCAGCCGCCGCAGUAAGAC